UAGGAAGAGAAAAGAGCAAAGCUUGCAGAGGCUGCAGAGAGGAGACAAAAAGAGGCUGCAUCUCGGGGAAUUUUAGAUGUUCAAUCUGUGCAAGAAAAGAGAAAGAAAAAGGAAAAAAUAGAAAAACAAAUUGCUACAUCUGGGCCCCCACCAGAAGGUGGACUUAGGGAAAAUGGACAUGAACUUUGAAUUUUCCCUUUCUCCAAAUGUUUGGCUUUUUAUUUUCACUGAUAAGCAUUAUGCUAUGUUCUUAGAAGACAAAAGCAACUCUUGCCAGUUUUGAAUAAUUUCUGCAUGAAUAGACCAGUAAGAG
rnacentral:sRNA from 1 species